CAGCAGUGUACUGCUUCUCUAAAUCCAUCUGGACUUCCUUCUGCUUCUCUGCCUGGAGACGACCAUUGCCAUCUUCGUUGUCGGUUUGCUCUACCUUCACAUCGCCCUUUACACCCAUGAGUUUGUUGAACUUUUCUUGUCUUUCACGAUCACCAAACAGUGCAGUGUCCCACCGGUGUCCAGACUCUUCUGAAGCUGUGCUCUUUUUGUUCCCCCAAAGCAGCUUCUUCUUCUGUUCAGUCGACAUAAAACCCACCCCAACGAGGUUCCUGUUAACUAAUUCAGCAGCUUUCAUUGCAGCAACNNNNNNNNNNCAUUUAGGUCAUUGGCACCCUCCGAGUUAUUCACAUGUGCCUCUCCUCCGAUGACUUUAGCAUCAACCCCAACUUGCUUUGAAGAUUGCUUUUCAUCACCAUCUUUAUUGUAAUCAGCAUCCCUUUCAGAGCUAAAUAACCUGGGCUUUUUAGCUAUAGACUCUUGUUUUUCACUCCCAAAAACAGGUUUAUCUUCAUUCUGCUCAUAUCUAUCCUUGUCCCUGUUAGCAUCCCAGUCAUCAUGUUUCUUCUUUUCCUUUUGACCGUUUAGAUCCUUUUGGUCAUCCUUAUAAGAAUCUCUAUAGCGAUGCACAUCAUGAUCCCUUCCAGAAUCAUUUCGACGAUCACUUUUGUAGUCUCCAGAACUCCUAUGAUAAUUCCUUUUCUCAUCCCAACCAUCUCUGUCCUGCCUGUGCCGGUCCCUAUCCUUAUC
rnacentral:misc_RNA from 1 species